rnacentral:rRNA from 1 species
GCACCUACCGAUUGAAUGGUCCGGUGAGAACUCGGGAUUGUGGUUUGGCUCCUUCAUUGGGGCCUGACUGCGAGAACUUGUCCGAACCUUAUCAUUUAGAGGAAGGUGAAAGUCGUAACAAGGUUUCCGUAGGUGAACCUGCGGAAGGAUCAUUA